CAGAGAGUAGUUUAGUUGAAAACGCCAGCUUUGGGGGUUGGUGAUAGAGGUUCGACUCCUUUCUCUCUGA
rnacentral:tRNA from 2 species